rnacentral:lncRNA from 1 species
GGAAGCUUCCUCAAGUAAGCACAUGGGUUGACAAUUAAGCUUUCAAGUUUUGGCAUUGCUCCUGCCCCCAUCGUCCACUCAUCUAGCCAAUACAUUGACUUCAGGUGCAAAAUCUUAAGUUCCGGAAAGCCACCAGAGUCAUCACAGGCCAACUUUCUUCCUAAAUACGAGUUCUUCUUCAGUUUCAGCACUUGAAGGCGUGGAAGCUUUUCCAGCAUUGGCAUGGGAUCCUCCAUUAGCUCAGUAUUUGAUAAGCUCAGAUGGCUCAGACUUAAAGGAAAUUCGUAUUCAGACAGGGCAAUCCGUGAGAGCUUGCUCUCAUUCACUAGUUCCAAGCAUUCAAUUUUGUGGAGUUCGCAUACGCUUUUGGAAACCCCAGAGUGAUAGCAACUCAAAUCUCCAGAUAUCUGAAGAGUUUGAACAUUAGGUAGUCUGCACAAUAUAUCUGGCGUGCAACUACUAGGGUGUAAGGAUGAUAUGAAAAUAAGAUUUUUCAGAGAGCUGGAAUAAUUUUUUGGAGGUGCAGGCAGAGUGAUGGAACCAAAGUUCAGAUGCAUGAGUUUUUGCAUCUUCCAAAUAUCCUCUGGUGUUUGAUCUACGUAGCUAGAUGGCAUGUCUAGUGUUUGAAGGUUUGAAAGGGUGCAUAGCUGUGAAGGAAGACAUUUGAGCGAAGGGAUAUUCAAUUUCAAAUACUUCAAAUGGAAUAAAUUAUCUAAUCCGGGUGGAUAUUGGUCCAGGACUGCAGAACCCAUGUUCAAUACCCGAAGGUGUUUGAACAUUUUACAAAAAUUCUCGCAAUCUAUCGGAUUAAGAUGAUCGCUUUCUGAACUGUAAUUCAGAAAAGAUUGAUUAGUUCUUUCAAGUAAUGUUCGGCCGUCCCCUCACUGUUGUAUGGUAUGAAACCUUCAGCUACCCACAACUGAUAUAAUUGCCUCGUGGAUAUCUCAAUACUUGGAGGGAAGACAAACAAAUAGAUGCAGCAGACUUUCAAGUGAAAAGGUAACUCCAUCACAGAAUAAAUUUGUCUCCAAGCUGUCGGAAUCGCUUCGCCUUGAAAAUAAUUUUCUAAUGGCAUACGUCCGUAGUGUAGGACGAAAAAUUGCAAGCCUUCAUACUUUAUUCUAAUCAGUGGUCCUCCAACGAGCACUGAAUCAAGCCGAAUCUCCUCUGCGUUUUCCAUUUCCAACGAUGUAAGGAGUCUUGGAUCAGCGACCAAUAUCAAUACUCUGCUUCCAUUCUGAUUAUCAGGAAGAACUUCUUCAAGAUCAUCCCAUAUCUCACUCUCAUCGAAGAAGCACAAUAAAGUACUUAUUGUUUGUUAGGUAAUCUCGAAGACUAGAUUUCUUCAAUUGAUAACUUCACCGAGGCAUCACAGACUUGAUUAUGUCAUCCAAUAUCUUGCCAAAAUCGUAGGCUAUAGAAACCCUGACCCAAGCAAGACAGUCAAAAUAGAACUUGACAUGAUUAUUGUUAAAAGUAUCUGCAGCAAAAGCAGUCUUAUCGAAGCCACUGCUGUCGAAAAUUGCAACCACUGAUAUCGAUAGAUCAAACAACUUCUCUCUGCCCUUUUCAAAUUCACUGAUAUCGAGCCGAGGUUGUCCCUCAUUCAAUAGGCGAAUGAUUUUGUUACUUUGUUCACUGAUAUCAAAACCAUUGUCGCCGGGUGGAAGUUGUUGCAUCUGAUUUCUAAUAUCAAAGUGAAAAAUUGCUGCUUUCACUUUCGUUUUCACUGUUUUGCUGCUGCAUGAUGUUGAUAUUGACAUAAUUUUAUUUUAGUUUUUGGGGAUAAAAAUAUUUGUUGACAAAUAUUUUUAUAUUUUACAAUUUAUUAUACAUAUUUUAUCAUUUUAAAGUAAUUUUAAUAAUAAAUAGAAACAUAAUAUUACGAUAAAUAAAUUAAAGUUUAAAUUAUUUUAAAUAUUAUAAAAAUAAUUCUAAUAUUAUUAAUAGGAAGACAUUUUGUUAAUUUUAAAAUUUUUUAACCCAAAGGUUUAUUUAAAAUUUUUAUUAUAAAUAAAAAUAUAAAAUUAAAUAUCAUAAAGUGUAUGCACGUUGACUCUCAAUAUAUACAAACGACUCUCUGGUAUGAUUCAAAGCACCAGUAUAUGCAUCAUUUUAAUGAGAAAGGAUAUUCUAAGAUUAUUUAUGCAUCACCAUUUUUAGUUGUACCGGCUCUAAUGAAAUUGAAGGUGCAAUCAGCAGCUAAAAUGAAGCCAGAAAUUGAAGGUGCAUGAGGAAAUUUUCCUAGAAGAUUGAUAUUUCUUCGACUAGCAAACCAUACAAGUCAAAGCUAGCCAAACCAUAUCUGCAAGUCCGGGGCUUAAAUGGAGUACUUCUACGCAAAAAACAUUAAUCAAAACACAAUAUGAGCACACCCCCGUCAACCCACCCCCCCCCAACACACAUACCGGCAAAUUCAAAAUAGAAAAAGGAGUGCAACUAUUCAAGUUUGUAGACAAUAUUGCAACCAUGGGAUAUUAAAGAAUAUCUUUGAAAUCCGCUAAACAAAACAAUGCCCUGUCUCAUGAUUCGAUGCUCAAUUAGAAUUGAAAUUGAAAGUCCGGCUGUUGCUGUUUCUCUCUCCAGUUUUGCCUACAUAAGUAAAGGGAAAUAAGAAUCAUAAAUUAAAAUCUGCUUUUACAAUUCUUAUUAGAUAGAUAUAAAGGGAUCUUUCGUUGUUUCUCUGCUGCAAUGUGUUGCUAUCCCACUCUGAGAAAGAUCUUUCGUUGUUUCUCUAUGUUGAGACAUAAUUUUGACAUCAGAAGGUUUUAUGACCUCCUUGAAGGUUUUACGAUAAACAUAAAUCUACUGAGAAAGUGGGAAAAAACGAAAAUGCAUAUAAAAGUAUGAGUUAUCAGAUAUGAUUAAAACUCACCUAACAUCAGAUUCCAUAAGGAUAUAACUGGAUGUCAUACCGCCACUCCAUAUCCUUGAAAGUCCGUAGUCUUUGUCUCAACUCUGUCUGAGGCCAAUGUAAAUCUAAUUUGCGCAAGCUCUUUAUGCACCAUAGCUCUUCUGGAAGCUUUCUCAAGUAAGCACAUGGAUUGACAAUUAAGCUUUCAAGUUUGGGCAUUGCUCCAGCCCCCAUCGUCCACUCAUCUAGCCAAUACAUUGACUUCAGGUGCAAAACCUUAAGUUCCGGAAAGCCACCAGAGCCAACACAGGCCAUCUUUCUUCCUAAAUUCGAGUUCUGCUUCAGUUUCAGCACUUGAAGGUGUGGAAGCUUUUCCAGCGUUGGCAUGGGAUCCUCCAUUAGCUCAGUAUUCGAUAAGCUCAGAUGGGUCAGACUUGGGGGAAAUUGGUAUUCAGACAGGAACAUCCGUGAGCGCUUGCUUUCAUUCACCAGCUUCAAGCAUUCAAGUUUGUGCAGUUCGCAUAGGCUUUUGGAAAUCCCAGAUUGAUAAUAACUCAAAUCUCCGGAUAUUCUAAGAGUUUGAAUAUUUGGUAGUCUGCCCAAUAUAGCUGGAGUGCAACUACUAGGGUGUAAGGCUGAUAUGAAAAUGAGAUUCUUCAAAGAGCUGGAAUAAUUUUUUGGAGGUGCAGGGAGAGUGAUGCAACUGAAGUUUAGAUGCAUGAGUUUUUGCAU